rnacentral:rRNA from 1 species
ACCCUGCGGGAGGCAGCAGUGGGGAAUUUUGGACAAUGGGCGAAAGCCUGAUCCAGCCAUGCCGCGUGCAGGAUGAAGGCCUUCGGGUUGUAAACUGCUUUUGUACGGAACGAAACGGCCUUUUCUAAUAAAGAGGGCUAAUGACGGUACCGUAAGAAUAAGCACCGGCUAACUACGUGCCAGCAGCCGCGGUAAUACGUAGGGUGCAAGCGUUAAUCGGAAUUACUGGGCGUAAAGCGUGCGCAGGCGGUUAUGUAAGACAGUUGUGAAAUCCCCGGGCUCAACCUGGGAACUGCAUCUGUGACUGCAUAGCUAGAGUACGGUAGAGGGGGAUGGAAUUCCGCGUGUAGCAGUGAAAUGCGUAGAUAUGCGGAGGAACACCGAUGGCGAAGGCAAUCCCCUGGACCUGUACUGACGCUCAUGCACGAAAGCGUGGGGAGCAAACAGGAUUAGAAACCCUGGUAGUCCCAUGAU